CCUCUUCCAUGUUACCAUCUCAUCUCCUCUGUUUCUAUCUCUUUUUUGUUAUCAUCUCAUCCAUGUCUUAUAUGUUGUUCCAUUAAUGGCUUCUGUCCGUCACACUUUUUGCUGUCAAAUCAAGGGUUUUAUAAGUUGACAAUUUGCUAACUUAAUUUGAGGGUUUUUUUAUUUGUUACUUGGAUUUUGUGCAGUUAAUGUUGGCAAUCGAUUGAUUGAAAUUUUUCUUCACCGAAAAUUGCUAAGAAGCGAGCUGAUCAUGAGAUUCCUAUGGUGACUUCAAAUCUCUCUUCCUGCGGAACAACCUUGAGAAGUUUCAUGCUAUGGGAAAUCAUGAAGAGGGGAUAUAGUCUACUAAGGAGAGGUUAUAUAUGGUGGAGGUAGGGGAUAUGGGAAGGAGUUCUCCACUACCAAGAAGGAAAUAUGGAGGUGGUGGUGGAUGUGUCGCUUAAUUGUUGAUGCUGCUAAUGUCUUUGUGUGCACUUCCACUACCCAAAAUAUGGUCGGCACUAUACUACCAAAAUAUGGCCGGCACUAUCUUUCAUGCCCUAGGUGCAACAAGGUAUUAGUGGUCGAUAAUUGUACCAGUUGUAGGGUUAAGUGCCCGUAGAAAAUUUUAUAUCGUUCCAGUUUGUGUUGAUAUAAAUCCAACUGUUAUUCGUGGUGGUGGUGGAUAUGGUGGAAGGAAAGAAUCAAAUAACGGGAGUUUAUUGGUUCAAAUUUUUUUACAAUCAACUGCAGGCCUGAAGAUCUUUGUAUUCAAUUUGAACGAUUUAGACAAGUCAGGAUGUUUAUUUUCUCAAAGUUUUUAUUCAGGAUAUGGUCUCUCGGCGAUUACCAGUUGUAUGUACAGAAAACUGAAUUCAAGGGUCCUCCUUCAAUAGGACAGGCCAUUCAGAAAAAUCUGCCAGAAUCAGAAAUGAUGGAGUCUAGCUCUGUUACUGGACCCGGCUUUGUGAAUAUAACGUUACCAAACAAAUGGAUAGCUAAGACUAUACAAAAUAUGUUAGAGAAAGGUAUUGGAAUAUGAGCUCCGAAGUUACGAGUCAGUAAAGUAGUGGUUGAUUUUUCUUCUCCAAAUGCAUAUUGGCCACCUGAGGUCAACAAUUAUUGGAGAUACCAUUGAUCGUUUGCUGGAGUACUCAAAUGUUGAAGUGCUUCGAAGGAACCAUGUUGGAGAUUGGGAACUCAGUUUGGUAUGUUGAUUGAGUACUUUUUCGUGAUGUUCCAGCUGUGCCUAGUGCUCAAGGAUCUGUGGUACAUUUUUUAUUUUUGUAUUUGGUGUAUUUAGGAUGCAUUAGUUCGGAGGGGAGUUGGGAACCCAUUCCCGAGUCCUUUUUCUGUCUUACUUCAUAUUUUACUUGAAAUCAGUCCAGAAUCAGUAAAACAUGAAUCUUACUUGCAUAUAUGCAAGUUUCAAUGUAAAACUCUGUAAAAUUUUGUUCUGAAAGUGUAAUCCAAGUUUAUGAUCUGAAAAACCUAAAA